rnacentral:rRNA from 1 species
UGCAAGUCGAGCGAGAAAGUAUCUUCGGAUAUGAGUAGAGCGGCGGACGGGUGAGUAACGCGUAGGAAUCUACCUAGUAGAAGGGGAUAGCCCGGGGAAACUCGGAUUAAUACCGUAUACCUCCUUAGGGAGAAAGAGGGCCUCUCUUGAAGCUCUCGCUAUUAGAUGAGCCUGCGUAAGAUUAGCUUGUUGGUAAGGUAAUGGCUUACCAAGGCUACGAUCUUUAGCUGGUCUGAGAGGACGAUCAGCCACAUUGGGACUGAGACACGGCCCAGACUCCUACGGGAGGCAGCAGUGGGGAAUAUUGGACAAUGGGCGCAAGCCUGAUCCAGCCAUACCGCGUGUGUGAAGAAGGCCUUCGGGUUGUAAAGCACUUUAAGCAGGGAGAAAAAGCAAUAAGUUAAUACCUUAUUGCCGUGAUGUUACCUGCAGAAUAAGCACCGGCUAAUUCCGUGCCAGCAGCCGCGGUAAUACGGAAGGUGCAAGCGUUAAUCGGAAUUACUGGGCGUAAAGCGCGCGUAGGUGGUUUGUUAAGUUGGAUGUGAAAGCCCUGGGCUCAACCUAGGAACUGCAUCCAAAACUAACUCACUAGAGUACGAUAGAGGGAGGUAGAAUUCAUAGUGUAGCGGUGGAAUGCGUAGAUAUUAUGAAGAAUACCAGUGGCGAAGGCGGCCUCCUGGAUCUGUACUGACACUAAGGUGCGAAAGCGUGGGUAGCGAACAGGAUUAGAUACCCUGGUAGUCCACGCCGUAAACGAUGACAACUAGCUGUUGGGAGACAAUGUCUUUCAGUGGCGCAGCUAACGUUUUAAGUUGUCCGCCUGGGGAGUACGGCCGCAAGGCUAAAACUCAAAUGAAUUGACGGGGACCCGCACAAGCGGUGGAGCAUGUGGUUUAAUUCGAUGCAACGCGAAAACCUUACCUACUC